CCUUAUUUGCCAGCACGUAAUGGUGGGAACUCUAAGGAGACUGCCGGUGACAAACCGGAGGAAGGUGGGGACGACGUCAAGUCAUCAUGGCCCUUACGGCCUGGGCUACACACGUGCUACAAUGGAACGUACAGAGGGCAGCAAAGCGGCGACGUGGAGCGAAUCCCGCAAAACGUUUCGUAGUCCGGAUCGGAGUCUGCAACUCGACUCCGUGAAG
rnacentral:rRNA from 1 species